rnacentral:rRNA from 1 species
UGGAUCCAGACUUUGAUUCUGGCUCAGGAUGAACGCUAGCGGCAGGCUUAACACAUGCAAGUCGAGGGGCAGCGCGGCGGUAGCAAUACCGUUGGCGGCGACCGGCGCAAGGGUGCGUAACGCGUGAGCAACUUGCCCUUUUCAGGGGGAUAACCGGUGGAAACGCCGACUAAUACCCCAUGGUCCCCACAGGUGACAUCUCCUUUGGGGUAAAGCUACGGCGGAAGAGGAUAGGCUCGCGUGACAUUAGCUGGUUGGCGGGGUAACGGCCCACCAAGGCGACGAUGUCUAGGGGUUCUGAGAGGAAGGUCCCCCACACUGGAACUGAGACACGGUCCAAACUCCUACGGGAGGCAGCAGUGAGGAAUAUUGGUCAAUGGGCGCGAGCCUGAACCAGCCGAGUAGCGUGCAGGAUGACGGCCCUAUGGGUUGUAAACUGCUUUUAUACGGGGAUAAAGUUUGGGACGUGUCCCAAUUUGCAGGUACCGUAUGAAUAAGGACCGGCUAAUUCCGUGCCAGCAGCCGCGGUAAUACGGAAGGUCCGGGCGUUAUCCGGAUUUAUUGGGUUUAAAGGGAGCGUAGGCCGGAGAUUAAGCGUGUUGUGAAAUGUAGACGCUCAACGUCUGAAUUGCAGCGCGAACUGGUUUCCUUGAGUACGUAGGAAGUUGGCGGAAUUCGUGGUGUAGCGGUGAAAUGCUUAGAUAUCACGAAGAACUCCGAUUGCGAAGGCAGCUGACUGUAUCGUAACUGACGCUGAAGCUCGAAAGUGUGGGUAUCGGACAGGAUUAGAUACCCUGGUAGUCCACACGGUAAACGAUGGAUGCUCGCUGUUGGCCCUUGGGUCAGUGGCUUAGGGAAACCGUUAAGCAUCCCACCUGGGGAGUACGCCGGCAACGGUGCAACUCAAAUGAAUUGACGGA